rnacentral:rRNA from 1 species
UAGCAAUACCGGGAAAGUUUUAGUGGCGAACGGGUGCGUAACACGUGGGCAAUCUGCCGAGAAGUGGGGGAUAGCUCGCCGAAAGGCGAAUUAAUACCGCAUAUGAUCAGGGAAGACAUCUUUCCAACAUCAAAGCCGGGGCAACCUGGCGCUUCUUGAUGAGCCCGCGGCCUAUCAGCUAGUUGGUGAGGUAACGGCCCACCAAGGCGAUGACGGGUAGCUGGUCUGAGAGGACGACCAGUCACACUGGAACUGAGACACGGUCCAGACACCUACGGGUGGCAGCAGUCGAGAAUUUUUCUCAAUGGGGGAAACCCUGAAGGAGCGACGCCGCGUGGAGGAUGAAGGCUUUCGGGUUGUAAACUCCUGUCAUUUGGGAACAAUGUCCCGCUUUUAACUGAGGCGGGAUUGAUAGUACCAGAAGAGGAAGAGACGGCUAACUCUGUGCCAGCAGCCGCGGUAAUACAGAGGUCUCGAGCGUUGUUCGGAUUCAUUGGGCGUAAAGGGUGCGUAGGUGGCGUGGUAAGUCGGGUGUGAAAUUUCGGAGCUUAACUCCGAAACUGCAUUCGAUACUGCUGUGCUUGAGGACUGGAGAGGAGACUGGAAUUCACGGUGUAGCA